AGACCUAAAAGGCUGGGGCAGACCUCGGGAUGCAGCGGGGGUCGUGCGUAGCGGGUAGGAGCUGCUUGGGACCGCGUCCGGGCGCUCGUGGGGCUCUCGGCGCGGCAGGCGCUUCCCGGCCCUGUCUGGCCGCGGGCUCCGCCGCUUCGCAGCCGAGUCUGGGACUCGGGACUCGGCUGCCCGCUGCUGCGCGGCUCCUCCAUGACCCGGCGCCCUGCCCGGGACCGGCCCGCUCGCUGCACUGGUCCUCUCCUCGGCCUCCUCUUGAGCUUUCCUCGGACAGGGGCACCGUGCGCUCCCCGGCCACCGUCGCUCUGCCCUCGGCUCUCUGGGGCCGGGGAUUCCGGAUCGGGAGCCGGGAUGCGGGCCGGGGCGCGCACAGACGCUAGGCGGCCCAGCCCGGGCGCCGCUGGCACCGGCUCGCGGCUCCCGGCAAAAACCCGUCCGACUGGCUGGGCCACUCCCGCCUGACGCCCCCCCAGAUGACACGACUAGCUCUCCCGGCGUGCUGCCUUUGCCAGUCUACCCGCCAGGUUGUCAGAACAAGCGGCACCUCGCCUCCUGCGUGUCCCUACAGAGCCCCGGCACAAUCAGACUGCCCCAAGCCAGCUCCGAAACCCGAAAUCCCCGCUCCGGCGCUUGCCCACCACGGCCAAAGUUGUGGAAACAGCUUUGACUUUAUUCUCCUCUCUCUCUCAUCUUUUUUUGCCUCGCUUACACACGCAUUCACACUUGCCCCCACAGGAUCCCUCUAGGGGUGCAAGUUCAUCCCCCACCUAGCCACCCACCCCAUCCAGUCGGCACCUAGAGCCGCACGGAGGUUCGGACCCCGCCCGCCGAGGGCGCCCACACCUGGAGCUGGGUUUCGGCCUCUGCGAAAGUGAAAUGCCCAAGCCUCCGGCCAAAGCCCAGACCAUCAAGAUCUCCGCCCCUGCGCCUGCACACACACCUCCUGCCUAACAUUCUCAGCUGCAAAUGCCAAAAAAGAAAAAAAAAAAAAACAGCAAAAGUUGGGACUGCCACCUAUUUAUUUAGGUAAUCUCCAGCCCUACACACCCCAACCCCUCUCUCGGACUCAUUGCUCAUUACAGUGUUGGUUGUAACCGUUCCCAGCGCCUCCUGCGGGUGGACAGGUCGCGCUAGGGUCUCCCUUGCUGCCUCAAGAAGGCGAGCUCAGGGGACUCUGCGUUUUAAAAUGGGUUCCAAAGCGGCGCGCUCUGUCGGCCCAGCGGGCUUGCGGCACCAGAGGUGGUCUGCAGCCGCGCAAGGAUUCCCACGGUCGUUCUGGGCUGGUGCAGAAGCUGGUGCUCCCGCACCCAGCGGCCAGCAGGCUCGGCGCAGCACAUCUCCCCACCCCACCCCCACACACCCCCGUGGGGUGCGUCGAUCCUGUAGCUCAGAGGGAGAAGCUACUUAGAACUUCGUGAAGCACAGAGGAUCUGGAGCGAGCCCCGCAGCUGGGAUCAGUGGUCUUAAGUUGAACCCGCUUACAGGAAGAUGCAGCCCAGCUCACAGCGAAGUGUGGGGGGGCCGUCUCUAAAGCCGAGAAGGGAACCGCUUUAGAAGUGGGGGUGGGGGGAAGAAAGAAUGAAUGAAUGAAUGAAUGAAUGAAUAGAAAGAAGAAGGAAUAUUAAAGAUCGGAGAGGAAGUUCAAGAGAGAAAAGAGUUUUCUCUUUCCUUUCUGUUCCUGGUGACUUGGGCCCUCAAUCUCGAUGAAGAUAACACGAGGAGUGCACAGCUUCUCCCCCGCGUUCUUCGGGCGAAUCCGAGGGACGGGCGCUGCGCUGGGGAAAGUUUGUCCCACCCGCGUUUCGCAGCUGGUUGCAAGGAGAGGAGGAGGAGAGGGAGGGUCAAGCUCGGAGCCUGUGACCGCACGGAUGAUCGAGCCGGCGUCGCGCUUACCUCGCAGUCCUCGUACUUGAUAUUAUCCGUCAAUUUCCAAAGCAUUUUCAUGGAUCGGCGUGAACGGAUAUGCCCCUCUCGGUCUCGCACCCAAGUGGAGCUACUCUCUGGCUCUUUACCAACAGCCUAAUCGCCUCAUUAGCAUAUCAACAAUAGUCCAAUUGCUCGCCAGUACCACAAUCUGCCGCCGGCCGCUCCGACACAGAGAUGCCUUCUGCAAAGCCCGGCACUGCUCAAGGUCCAAGCGCCACGCCUGGGGCCCAGCUUCUAGCACUUCUCCCUUAACCCUGCUACCACGAUCCGAGCUGCCCUUUUGGCCCCGUGCAAUUUUAUUAGAAAUCAUUAUCCCUUUCGCAAUUAAACAUAACCACCAAACCAAGACCGGCGAAGUCACUCCAGGAUUUUUUCCCAACAAGGGAUCGCCUCCGCUCGAGGCAGCCACCCCCUCGGGCCGCAGCGCCUUGGGAGUUUUAUUGGCUUUGAGCUUUCCCCCAGGUUGGAGAUUCUGCCAAGCGGCUCCGGUGGCUCUGCUGGGGUUUGCAAUCCCUUAAUUGCAGCGUGUAAAAUAAAAGUUGUACCCUGAAGAGGUUACUUGACAGCUCCAGGGGUUAAACAAUUUUUCUCCUGUUUGUGUGAAGCUAGGGCCAACUGACAGUUCAAAUUGGUGUUCAGGCUAAGGUUUCCUGGGUGCAACGUGGACACGAAUACAGAACUCCUAUGGAACUGCACACCCGCUUCUGAAGUUGAGCCUAAAAACAGACGUGUGUGUGCCUGCAAGUCUAGAUACCGUCUCGUGCGUGCAUCAAAAUAAAUCACCGGGAACCGACUUUUAGCUGUGUUAAUCUGCUCUAGUUUUCCCAAGAUUCCCCUUUUUAAUUAAAGCAGGGAGAGUUCCUUCAUGAUUUGGUGAUGCUACUAACGCGGGCGUGCUCGCGAGGCAGAGCCCGGCUGCCGCGGAACCUGGAGGCCUGGGAGCCACCUACUCGUCCAGACUGGUCAGUCCGGGCUUUUGGACUCCUCACCGGGGCCUGCUGGGUCCUCUGGGGCUUUUAUCCCUUUCGGUUUUGGGAUUUUUUUUUAAGUAAGAAAAAAAAAAAAGAAAAGGACCUAAUGUGACACUAGGAAAUACAGAGUAAUUAAUUUUCCUGGCUGAGCUUCCUCGUUUGUCCUCCAAAAGAAAGUUACCUCUGUCUUUUCUCUCUGCUAUAUGUACAAACUCCUUAACUACACUAGGUCCCGCCUCAGAGUUGCUCUAGUAAGGACCUUUGAUUCAUCUGGGCUUGUUUCUCGAAAAUCUCCAGGCCUCCCAUAUUUCCACCGGG
rnacentral:lncRNA from 1 species